GCUGGGUGUGGUGGCGCAUGCCUGUAAUCCCAGCUACUUGGAGGCAGAGGUAGGAGAAUCAUUUGAACCCGGGAGGCAGAAAUUGCAGUGAGCUAAGAUCACGCCACUGCACUCCAGCCUGGGUGACAGAGUGAGACUCCAUCUCAA
rnacentral:SRP_RNA from 1 species